rnacentral:rRNA from 1 species
GACGAACGCUGGCGGUGUGCUUAACACAUGCAAGUCGAACGGUAAGGCCCUUUCGGGGGUCCACGAGUGGCGAACGGGUGCGUAACACGUGAGUAACCUGCCCUCAUCUCUGGGAUAACAGUCGGAAACGGUUGCUAAUACUGGAUAUGAGCUUGCAAGGCAUCUUGUGGGUUGGAAAGAUUUUUUUUGGUUGGGGAUGGACUCGCGGCCUAUCAGCUUGUUGGUGAGGUAGUGGCUCACCAAGGCUUCGACGGGUAGCCGGCCUGAGAGGGCGACCGGCCACAUUGGGACUGAGAUACGGCCCAAACUCCUACGGGAGGCAGCAGUGGGGAAUAUUGCACAAUGGACGGAAGUCUGAUGCAGCAACGCCGCGUGCGGGAUGACGGCCUUCGGGUUGUAAACCGCUUUCAAUUGUGACGAAGCUUUUUUGUGACGGUAGCAGUAGAAGAAGCACCGGCUAACUACGUG